AGAGUUUGAUCCUGGCUCAGGACGAACGCUGGCGGCGCGCCUAACACAUGCAAGUCGAACGAGCGAGAGAGAGCUUGCUUUCUCGAGCGAGUGGCGAACGGGUGAGUAACGCGUGAGGAACCUGCCUCAAAGAGGGGGACAACAGUUGGAAACGACUGCUAAUACCGCAUAAGCCCACGGGUCGGCAUCGACCAGAGGGAAAAGGAGCAAUCCGCUUUGAGAUGGCCUCGCGUCCGAUUAGCUAGUUGGUGAGGUAACGGCCCACCAAGGCGACGAUCGGUAGCCGGACUGAGAGGUUGAACGGCCACAUUGGGACUGAGACACGGCCCAGACUCCUACGGGAGGCAGCAGUGGGGAAUAUUGCACAAUGGGGGAAACCCUGAUGCAGCGACGCCGCGUGGAGGAAGAAGGUCUUCGGAUUGUAAACUCCUGUUGUUGAGGAAGAUAAUGACGGUACUCAACAAGGAAGUGACGGCUAACUACGUGCCAGCAGCCGCGGUAAAACGUAGGUCACAAGCGUUGUCCGGAAUUACUGGGUGUAAAGGGAGCGCAGGCGGGAAGACAAGUUGGAAGUGAAAUCCAUGGGCUCAACCCAUGAACUGCUUUCAAAACUGUUUUUCUUGAGUAGUGCAGAGGUAGGCGGAAUUCCCGGUGUAGCGGUGGAAUGCGUAGAUAUCGGGAGGAACACCAGUGGCGAAGGCGGCCUACUGGGCACCAACUGACGCUGAGGCUCGAAAGUGUGGGUAGCAAACAGGAUUAGAUACCCUGGUAGUCCACACCGUAAACGAUGAUUACUAGGUGUUGGAGGAUUGACCCCUUCAGUGCCGCAGUUAACACAAUAAGUAAUCCACCUGGGGAGUACGACCGCAAGGUUGAAACUCAAAGGAAUUGACGGGGGCCCGCACAAGCAGUGGAGUAU
rnacentral:rRNA from 1 species